ensembl:lncRNA
UGAACAGCCAAUGUAUGACAUAAUCCAGACUUUGUCCACUUGAGAAACCGAUGAUGAGAUCAUUAGCCGUCAUUCAGAACUCUAGGAGUUUGUUCUUCUUUAAAUCUUUAUCAGUUAUAAACCUGGCCCGAGGAGAAAGCCUUGAUCUGCGCAGUGCUGAGAGUCAGCUUGAGGUGAUGUCAACGCCUUUUUCCUGCAACUUCCUCUUGAGGCUGUUCCAGGGCCACCAUCGGUCAACCCUGUUUCCGCUUCUCAUGGGUACAUAGGAACAGCUCACACUGAACAAAACACAUGCGCACACACACACACACACACACACACACACACACACACACACACACACACACACACAUCAAAAUUCACUUUGGACCAUCAGUCAGACUCAACAAAGUCAGCCCCCUAAAGAUGCUACU